UACGAAGGGGGCUAGCGUUGCUCGGAAUUACUGGGCGUAAAGCGCACGUAGGCGGCUUUCUAAGUCGGGGGUGAAAUUCCUGGAGCUCAACUCCAGAACUGCCUUUGAUACUGAGGAUCUUGAGUUCGGGAGAGGUGAGUGGAACUGCGAGUGUAGAGGUGAAAUUCGUAGAUAUUCGCAAGAACACCAGUGGCGAAGGCGGCUCACUGGCCCGAUACUGAACGCUGAGGCACGAAAAGCGUGGGG
rnacentral:rRNA from 1 species